GCAGGUGGAGUGUGGAUUCACGGAGGCGCGGUUGGGGCCGGGCCUUUUCUCCUCUCGCCCACCUGAGUAAUUUAACGCCGACUGAUCCAACUGCGCCACGGACACAGGGCCUCUGGACACAUAAGGAGCCAGGAACCAGACGGGUGAGCAACUUGGCGUUACAGAUCCAGUUACUGGCAAGUUACUGGCAAGUUAGUUGGAACCCUGGUCUUCUGCUUCUCAGCCCACUCUGAGCUCAGCUGGGGCCAAGCGGUGCCAUGGCCUGCCAGCCCUCUUGGGGAACAAGAUGACAAGACUAAAACCAAAGGUAUCUGGACAAAAAGCAGCAGUGGAGGGAAUCUAUAAAUAGGAUGCUUUAGACUGAAUGAGUCUUCUCCCUUUGGCAUUACGGCAGACGGCAUCCUUGUAAGGGCCAGCCCACUAAAUAACAACAAGGUCCUGGAUAAAACAUACCUUUUAAGCACAGUGGGAUUUGCAAGAUGUAAGGGAAAUUUCAAAGGUUCCGUUCUACCUUUCAUAUUUGCUUGCUACUCACUAUUGCCACCUCUGGUUUCAAUUUAUGGUUUUAUUUCAGUUCACGGAGGUGUGUGUGUGGUGGUGGUGGGGGGGUGUGGUGCUCUGGUGAAUUUGGCCCCUUCAUUACCUGCAUGACAACACUCUGAACCCUCAGGUUUUGCUGAGAAUUUAAAAAUCAUUGUCCUGGACAUCCUUCCAGCUUUGCAUUCCUUUAUCAACAAACCAACAAAUAAGGACAUACCUUUCCCCAAACAAAGAAAGGGAUUGAGUUUCUCUUCUCUCUUCUGACCUCUCACAAUCGGCGGUUUACAGUUUGUUCAUUCAGAAAGACAAUACAAUACUUAAUAAAU